rnacentral:rRNA from 1 species
UGAGGAAUAUUGGUCAAUGGGCGGGAGCCUGAACCAGCCAAGUCGCGUGAAGGAAGAAGGAUCUAUGGUUCGUAAACUUCUUUUGCAGGGGAAUAAAGUGCAGGACGUGUCCUGUUUUGUAUGUACCCUGAGAAUAAGGAUCGGCUAACCCCGUGCCAGCAGCCGCGGUAAUACGGAGGAUCCGAGCGUUAUCCGGAUUUAUUGGGUUUAAAGGGUGCGCAGGCGGGAUUUUAAGUCAGCGGUGAAAUUUUCAGGCUCAACCUGAACACUGCCGUUGAAACUGGGAUUCUUGAGUAUGGAUGAAGUAGGCGGAAUUCGUUGUGUAGCGGUGACAUGCUUAGAUAUAACGAAGAACUCCGAUUGCGUAGGCAGCUUACUAAGCCAUAACUGACGCUCAAGC